CGUCACCAAACAGUGGCUCCCCUUCCCCACCGGACCCAGCUCCUGCUCUGGCCUGCCUGCUGGUUGAGGAGGUAGAUAAGGAGGCCAGAUCUGCCUAGAGAUCAGAAAGCAAGAUGGAAGAGAGGCAGAAGCACAAGGUCCCAGCAUACAAGACCUCCUACCAGGCCCGGGGCCUGGCCUCCUACACUUCCAGCCAUCAGAGGUCCUGCUGCAAGUGAGAAGCCCAGUCGGACGCAUGGAGCCUCAUGGACAGUGCCUGGCCAGCGGAGGUGCAUCAGGCACACCUGUCUCUUCCCCUUUCCUCUGCCUCACAGGAUGGGAAAGGGUUGUUUCCCUGUUGAGCCCACACCUGCUGAGCUGCUGGUGCCACAUGACGUGAACUCCCUAGUGACAGCUCCCUGGUGGCGGCCCCUGUGGUUGCCAUGGCACCCCCUUGGGGCCAUUCAGCUCCCCCCACCCCACUGCAGCCCUGGCCUGGAGCUCCAUAGGCAAAAAGGCAGAACGUCAAUAGGACGACAUAAUGAGCAGAGGCACUGAAAUCUCAUUUCAGCCAAUAUAGUCCUCAUCGACCCCAACAAGCAUUCGACUUGCUUUUAUCGUCUCUGUCAACCCUAGAGAGCAGAAGUUAAAAUAAAACCUUAAAGGGCAGGACUGGUGGAUGAAGGAUAGACAAAGAACCUUGUCCAUCCAUAAGGCAGGAAAUAAGGCCCUGGCACAGGGCAAGGGCUCAAUAAAUGGCUGUUAAAUUGUUACAUGAAGAAGUGAAUAAAAGCAACUCAACUGUGAUUGAG
rnacentral:lncRNA from 1 species